rnacentral:rRNA from 1 species
UACGGAGGGUGCAAGCGUUAAUCGGAAUUACUGGGCGUAAAGCGCACGUAGGUGGUUUGUUAAGCCAGCUGUGAAGUCCCCGGGCUCAACCUGGGCACUGCAGUUGGAACUGGCAAGCUAGAGUAGGGUAGAGGGGUGUGGAAUUCCAGGUGUAGCGGUGAAAUGCGUAGAUAUCUGGAGGAACAUCAGUGGCGAAGGCGACACCCUGGACUCAUACUGACACUGAGGUGCGAAAGCGUGGGGAGCAAACAGG